rnacentral:lncRNA from 1 species
CCAUUGGUGUGCACACACAGCUGGCAUGCCUUGCUCCUGCCCCCAUUCCUCCAAAUGAGAGCUGUGGUCUGUUUGAAAGAAUCUUGUCAUCAUUUACCAAAGGUGAAAGCCACCCCUUCCUUUCAAGAACAAUGGUUUUGAUGACAAUUCAGUCCAAAAAUCCAAGCCCAGCGUGCUGGUCACUGCUUUGCCUUUUUCACAAUGGUGCCAACAGCUGAUAUGACUGUAGUUUUGGAUCCACUUGCACUGGUUGUCACUGUGACAACACCUGGCAGUGUUGCAGUAGUGGUGAGGAUGGUGGGCUGAGCUAUUGUUGUUACAGGGAUGGCUGAGUCCCAUUUGCUCUUCCUCUUCUGUGCAUCUCCAACUGUAGUACUGGCUGUCGUGGUUGUUGUAGAGGCAGCACUUGUUGUUGUGCCCUUCUUAGUGCCAGUCACAAAUUCAAUCUUUGUGCGUUCCUUCUUGGCCUUCUCCAGUUUGUCCAUUUCAAUCUUCUGGGCUUUUGCUAGUGCCUCAUAAUAUGAAUCCUCUGACCAGCCAUGAGGAUCAAACAUGUCCUUUGGGUAAUUUGUACCAAGUUCAUCAAUUGAACAGAACUGGAUCAGCUUUUCAUAGAUGCUGGGGUUGCGGAAUUCCUUUUUCCUUUGAAUGAUGUAGUUCAUAUCCAUGCCCUCUUUUAUUUUCCUCUCAUACAGCUUUUGAAUCUUAUCCUGCAAGUGGUUAGAACAUCUGCCAGGAGGCUCAGGAGGGAUUCUGAUCUCAUCUGGAGACAUGUUCCGCACUCUUUCUGAAAAAGAAGCAACUAGCUCCUGAGGAUCUCUUUUCUCCAGUUCUGAGAAUUCCUUUAGGUCACCAGCCUCAGGUUUUUCAGUCUCUGAAUCGUCAUCUUCUGACUGCCUGCUGUUCUCGUCGUCGUCCUCUUCAUACCCCUCCUCAUCCCCAUCCAGGCGGCUGAAAUCAUCCUCUCCAUACCCAACGGAGACGAGCCCUCCUUUCUCUCCCGUAGCCGUUCCCCCAUCGCUUCCCGCCGUCCCGGUCUCGCUAUCCGACUCCGGGUCUGAAUCCUCGGCAUAAACAGCCAAAGAGGACAAGACGCUACGCUUCGCCGCCG